GACGAACCGUCCAAACGUUGUUCGGAAUCACUGGGCUUAAAGGGCGCGUAGGCGGGCUGCCAAGUCCGGGGUGAAAUCCUCCCGCUUAACGGGAGAACUGCCUCGGAUACUGGAAGUCUCGAGGAGGGUAGGGGCAUGCGGAACUGUGGGUGGAGCGGUGAAAUGCGUUGAUAUCCAUAAGAACUCCGGUGGCGGAAGGCGGCAUGCUGGACCCUUUCUGACGCUGAGGCGCGAAAGCCAGGGGAGCAAACGGGGAUUAGCAA
rnacentral:rRNA from 1 species